rnacentral:misc_RNA from 1 species
UAAUAAGUGUUUUAUGGCACUUUUUAAAUCCCAUAUCCACCUUGUGUGCAAUGUCAGUCGAUCUUCUUCAUGGAGAUCGACCAAACAUCAACCUUUAUCUUUUAACUCUUUGUCUGAAAAAUAUUAUGAAUAAACAAUUCAAAAUAC